UACGUAGGGUGCAAGCGUUGUCCGGAAUUAUUGGGCGUAAAGAGCUCGUAGGCGGUUUGUCGCGUCUGCCGUGAAAGUCCGGGGCUCAACUCCGGAUCUGCGGUGGGUACGGGCAGACUAGAGUGAUGUAGGGGAGACUGGAAUUCCUGGUGUAGCGGUGAAAUGCGCAGAUAUCGGGAGGAACACCGGUGGCGAAGGCGGUUCUCUGGGCCUUACCUGACGCUGAGGAGCGAAAGCGUGGGGAGCGAACAGG
rnacentral:rRNA from 1 species